CCCGUAGGUGAACCUGCGGAGGGAUCAUUACCGAGUUUACAACUCACUCAAACCCCUGUGAACAUACUUUAUGUUGCCUCGGCGGAUCAGCCCGCGCCCCGUAAAAAGGGACGGCCCGCCGCAGGAACCCUAAGCUCUGUUUUUAGUGGAACUUCUGAGUAUAAAAAACAAAUAAAUCAAAACUUUCAACAACGGAUCCUCAUUGGUUCUGGCAUCGAUGAAGAACGCAGCAAAAUGCGAUCAACGUAAUGUGAAUUGCAGAAUUCAGUGAAUCAUCGAAUCUUUGAACGCACAUUGCGCCCGCCAGUAUUCUGGCGGGCAUGCCUGUUCGAGCGUCAUUUCAACCCUCAAGCCCAGCUUGGUGUUGGGAGCUGCAGUCCUGCUGCACUCCCCAAAUACAUUGGCGGUCACGUCGAGCUUCCAUAGCGUAGUAAUUUACAUAUCGUUACUGGUAAUCGUCGCGGCCACGCCGUUAAACCCCAACUUCUGAAUGUUGACCUCGGAUCAGGUAGGAAUACCCGCUGAACUUAAGCAUAUCAAUAAGCGGAGGA
rnacentral:sRNA from 1 species